rnacentral:rRNA from 1 species
AUUGAACGCUGGCGGCAGGCUUAACACAUGCAAGUCGAACGCGUGGCGGACGGGUGAGUAAUGCUUGGGAAUCUAGCUUAUGGAGGGGGAUACCUACGGGAAACUGUAGCUAAUACCGCGUACCAUAGGCUGAGCCAAAGUGGGAUUAGGUCGUUGGUGAGGUAAAGGCUCACCAAGCCGACGAUCUCUAGCUGGUCUGAGAGGAUGACCAGCCACCCUGGGACUGAGACACGGCCCAGACGCCUACGGGAGUCAGAAGUGGGGAAGAUUGCGCAAUGGGGGAAACCUGACGCAGCCAUGCCGCGUGAAUGAAGAAGGCCUUCGGGUUGUAAAGUUCUUUCGGUAGCGAGGCGUUAACUACAGAAGAAGCACCGGCUAACUCCGUGCCAGCAGCCGCGGUAAUAC